rnacentral:lncRNA from 1 species
CCUGUUACCUUUAAUCUUGUUACCCGUUUGUGAUUCUUUAAUCCGCGGGUCCCCGUUACCUUUAAUCCCAUUACCCGUUUGUGAUUCUUUAAUCCGCGGGUCCUGUUACCUUUAAUCCUGUUACCCGUUUGUGAUUCUUUAAUCCGCGGGUCCCAGUUACCUUUAAUCCUGUUACCCGUUUGUGAUUCUUUAAUCCGCGGGUCCCGUUACCUUUAACCACAGUUACCCGUUUGUGAUUCUUUAAUCCGCGGGCCCCCGUUUGUGAUAUUUCAAUCCGCGGGUAUUUUUACUUAAUUUGAUAUGGAUUCAUCUCUUCAGCCGCUCCUCUACUGCUCCUUUGGUUGCCGCUCUUCGUUGGCUUGCUAUCAAUGGAUUUAAU